AGAGUUUGAUUCUGGCUCAGGACGAACGCUGGCGGCGUGCCUAACACAUGCAAGUCGAACGGGGUGAUUACGGAAGUCUUCGGAGCGGAAGUUUCACUUAGUGGCGAACGGGUGAGUAACGCGUGAGCAACCUGCCUUUCAGUGGGGGACAACAGUUGGAAACGACUGCUAAUACCGCAUGACACAUAUUGACCGCAUGAUUGACAUGUCAAAGAUUUAUUGCUGAAAGAUGGGCUCGCGUCUGAUUAGAUAGUUGAUGGGGUAACGGCCUACCAAGUCGACGAUCAGUAGCCGGACUGAGAGGUUGAACGGCCACAUUGGGACUGAGAUACGGCCCAGACUCCUACGGGAGGCAGCAGUGGGGAAUAUUUGGGCAAGUGGGGGAAACCCUGACCCAGCAACGCCGCGUGAAGGAAGAAGGCCUUCGGGUUGUAAACUUCUUUUACCAGGGACGAAGGACGUGACGGUACCUGGAGAAAAAGCCACGGCUAACUACGUGCCAGCAGCCGC
rnacentral:rRNA from 1 species